rnacentral:rRNA from 1 species
AUACGUAGGUGACAAGCGUUAUCCGGAUUUACUGGGCGUAAAGGGCGUGUAGGCGGUCUUGCAAGUCAGAAGUGAAAUUCCUGAGCUCAACUCGGGCGCUGCUUCUGAAACUGCAGGACUUGAGUGCUGGAGGGGAAAGCGGAAUUCAUAGUGGAGCGGUAAAAUGCGCAGAUAUUAGGAAGAACACCGGUGGCGAAGGCGGCUAUCUGGACAGUAACUGACGCUGAGGCGCGAAAGCGUGGGGAGCAAACAGGAUUAGAUACCCUGGUAGUCCACGCCGUAAACGAUAAAUACUAGGUGUAGGGGGUAUCGACUCCCUCUGUGCCGCAGUUAACACAAUAAGUAUUCCGCCUGGGGAGUACGGCCGCAAGGUUGAAACUCAAAUGAAUUGACGGGG